CGUAACAAGGUCUCCGUAGGUGAACCUGCGGAGGGAUCAUUACACAAAUAUGAAGGCGGGCUGGAACCUCUCGGGGUUACAGCCUUGCUGAAUUAUUCACCCUUGUCUUUUGCGUACUUCUUGUUUCCUUGGUGGGUUCGCCCACCACUAGGACAAACAUAAACCUUUUGUAAUUGCAAUCAGCGUCAGUAACAAAUUAAUAAUUACAACUUUCAACAACGGAUCUCUUGGUUCUGGCAUCGAUGAAGAACGCAGCGAAAUGCGAUAAGUAGUGUGAAUUGCAGAAUUCAGUGAAUCAUCGAAUCUUUGAACGCACAUUGCGCCCUUUGGUAUUCCAAAGGGCAUGCCUGUUCGAGCGUCAUUUGUACCCUCAAGCUUUGCUUGGUGUUGGGCGUCUUGUCUCUAGCUUUGCUGGAGACUCGCCUUAAAGUAAUUGGCAGCCGGCCUACUGGUUUCGGAGCGCAGCACAAGUCGCACUCUCUAUCAGCAAAGGUCUAGCAUCCAUUAAGCCUUUUUUUUCAACUUUUGACCUCGGAUCGGGUAGGGAUACCCGCUGAACUUAAGCAUA
rnacentral:rRNA from 1 species